CCUACGGGAGGCAGCAGUGGGGAAUAUUGCACAAUGGGGGAAACCCUGAUGCAGCGACGCCGCGUGAGUGAAGAAGUAUUUCGGUAUGUAAAGCUCUAUCAGCAGGGAAGAAAUAGCGACCUUUGGGUCGCCAGACGGUACCUGCUUAAGAAGCCCCGGCUAACUACGUGCCAGCAGCCGCGGGAAUACGUAGGGGGCAAGCGUUAUCCGGAUUUACUGGGUGUAAAGGGAGCGUAGACGGCAGCGCAAGUCUGAAGUGAAAUUCCGGGGCUUAACCCCGGAACUGCUUUGGAAACUGUGCAGCUAGAGUGCAGGAGAGGUAAGUGGAAUUCCUGGUGUAGCGGUGAAAUGCGUAGAUAUUAGGAGGAACACCAGUGGCGAAGGCGGCUUACUGGACUGUAACUGACGUUGAGGCUCGAAAGCGUGGGGAGCAAACAGGAUUAGAUACCCCAGUAGUC
rnacentral:rRNA from 1 species